rnacentral:rRNA from 1 species
UACAGAGACUGCAAGCGUUAUUCGGAUUCACUGGGCGUAAAGGGCGCGUAGGCGGCCCUCCUUGUCGCGUGUGAAAGCCCCGGGCUCAACCUGGGAACGGCGCGCGAGACGGGGGGGCUGGAGUUCGGGAGAGGAGCGUGGAAUUCCCAGUGUAGAGGUGAAAUUCGUAGAUAUUGGGAAGAACACCGGUGGCGAAGGCGGCGCUCUGGACCGAGACUGACGCUGAGGCGCGAAAGCGUGGGGAGCAAACAGG